rnacentral:rRNA from 1 species
GCCCAGAUGGGAUUAGCUAGUAGGUGGGGUAACGGCUCACCUAGGCGACGAUCCCUAGCUGGUCUGAGAGGAUGACCAGCCACACUGGAACUGAGACACGGUCCAGACUCCUACGGGAGGCAGCAGUGGGGAAUAUUGCACAAUGGGCGCAAGCCUGAUGCAGCCAUGCCGCGUGUAUGAAGAAGGCCUUCGGGUUGUAAAGUACUUUCAGCGGGGAGGAAGGGAGUAAAGUUAAUACCUUUGCUCAUUGACGUUACCCGCAGAAGAAGCACCGGCUAACUCCGUGCCAGCAGCCGCGGUAAUACGGAGGGUGCAAGCGUUAAUCGGAAUUACUGGGCGUAAAGCGCACGCAGGCGGUUUGUUAAGUCAGAUGUGAAAUCCCCGGGCUCAACCUGGGAACUGCAUCUGAUACUGGCAAGCUUGAGUCUCGUAGAGGGGGGUAGAAUUCCAGGUGUAGCGGUGAAAUGCGUAGAGAUCUGGAGGAAUACCGGUGGCGAAGGCGGCCCCCUGGACGAAGACUGA